rnacentral:rRNA from 1 species
UCUCAGUUCGGAUUGGAGUCUGCAACCCGACUCCAUGAAGCUGGAUUCGCUAGUAAUCGCGCAUCAGCCACGGCGCGGUGAAUACGUUCCCGGGCCUUGUACACACCGCCCGUCAAGCCAUGGGAGCCGGGGGUACCUGAAGUGCGUGACCGCAAGGAGCGCCCUAAGGUAAAACCGGUGACUGGGGCUAAGUCGUAACAAGGUAUC